rnacentral:rRNA from 1 species
UACGUAGGGGGCAAGCGUUGUCCGGAAUCACUGGGCGUAAAGGGCGUGUAGGCGGGAAGGAAAGUCGGGCGUGAAAUCCCUGGGCUCAACCCAGGAACUGCACUCGAAACUUCUUUUCUUGAGUGCCGGAGAGGAAAGCGGAAUACCUGGUGUAGAGGUGAAAUUCGUAGAUAGUCAGGAGGAACACCAGUGGCGAAGGCGGCUCACUGGCCCGGUACUGACGCUGAGGUGCGAAAGCGUGGGGAGCAAACAGG